rnacentral:misc_RNA from 1 species
CCGAGUUAUCAACUCCCAAACCCCUGUGAACAUACCAUAUUGUUGCCUCGGCGGGAUCGCCCCCCUCCGGGCCGGAACCGCCCCGCAGGACCCAAACUCUUGUUUCGAUAUAAGUCUGUCUGAGGUGACUGCAAGCAAAUAAAUUA